GCCAACACGAUUUUUACUCUAUUCCACCAUAGUAAUGACUACUUUGAUUGUAUUUGUCGCCAUCUUGGCUUGUGCAUGGUCAGCACCAUGUGUACACAAUAACCACGCCGAUUUAACAGAAGAACAUGUUAUUAAUAUGGUUCUAACGAUUGCUGAUGGGAAUAGUGAUGGUGUUCUCAGUGGAUUAGAUCUGGCUAAAUUCUUUUAUGACUAUGAUACUAACGGGAAUAAUAAAGUAGAAAAGGCGGAAUUUGGAAAUGGAUGGGUUUCAACUUUCCACGAUGAGAGAGCGUUUGCAGAACACGUGUUUGAUUUUCUGGAUACAGACGACGAUGAUGCACUAGAUGCCAAUGACGUUACUGCUCUGAUUGAAAGAGUAGACACAUCAGGCGAUGGGUUGAUUCAAGUAUCAGAAAUGAAAACAUUUUUAGAAGCUAUUUUCAAUGCUUGUUAAUAAGAUUACAGGAAACAGCCAAUAAACCACAAAUAAACAG